UGAUUAUGUUGACCAAAUUAA
rnacentral:piRNA from 1 species